rnacentral:rRNA from 1 species
GACGGAGGGUGCUAGCGUUGUUCGGAAUCACUGGGCGUAAAGGGCGCGUAGGCGGCCUUGCAAGUCGGUUGGUGAAAGCCCGGGGCUCAACCCCGGAGGUGCGGCCGAGACUGCAGGGCUGGAGGCCGGAAGAGGAGGGUGGAAUACCCAGUGUAGAGGUGAAAUGCGCAGAUAUCGGGAGGAACACCAAUGGCGAAGGCAGCUCGCUGGGACGGUACUGACGCUGAGGCGCGAAAGCGUGGGGAGCAAACAGG